UCCUCGAUAGCUCAACGCGGUAGCAUCCGGCUGUUAACCGGAGGGUUGCAGGUUCGAAUCCUGCUCGAGGAGCCA
rnacentral:tRNA from 1 species